rnacentral:misc_RNA from 1 species
UACGGAGGAUCCAAGCGUUAUCCGGAAUCAUUGGGUUUAAAGGGUCCGUAGGCGGGUUUAUAAGUCAGUGGUGAAAGUCUGCAGCUUAACUGUAGAACUGCCAUUGAUACUGUAGAUCUUGAAUUAUUAUGAAGUGGUUAGAAUAUGUAGUGUAGCGGUGAAAUGCAUAGAUAUUACAUAGAAUACCGAUUGCGAAGGCAGAUCACUAAUAAUAUAUUGACGCUGAUGGACGAAAGCGUAGGUAGCGAACAGG